AAGAAGGAAGAGGCUGCAGAAUAACAGAGGGAGGGAAAAUCCACUCAGUUCCCCUUCUUUUUCUCUAGGGGACCCAUGUGCCAGUUCUCCAUCAUUAAUCCAUGAAACGUAGUUAACCGAAAAUGUGAUCCUAGAGGGGCAAGAUUAAAAGCAGCCUCAAAGACCGAUUGCCCGGGCGGGCUGCUACCCGGUCACCGUCUGCACGGCUGCGUUCCUGAAAGUGGCUUUCUUUGAAAGCUCUCUAGGUAGCUCUCAGCAAGCCACAAUCUCUUCGCACCAAACCACUGAAGACGUCUUUGAAGAUAUCAGUUUCCAUCCUGGUCUAAUAAUAGCAUUGGAAGCUUGGGCAUUUCAAUAAGGGAAACUAUAUAAGAAGAAACACCAAGCUACAGCACCAAGAAGAAGUCAUCUCUGCCAGCAUAACUGGCUGGCACAGUUACUGCCAUCUUCUGGAGAUGAUCUGGUUUUACAAGCCUCAAGUCUUUGUCAUUUCUGGUGAAUGGAAAGGAAGUGGGUUAAUCACGUUUUGUAUCCUCAACAGUGAUGGUUGAGGGUGCUUGGAAAAAAGAUUUUGUUAAAGUUCAGAGAUUAAAGCCAAAAAAUGAACACUUAUGUAAAAACUCUGAAACCAUAAUCAUAUGGCCACCCUCAUCAGUCAGAAAUAGAUUGCUCUUCAAUUCUUUUGUACCACUGUAGUCCAAAGAUACGAAGGCACAUUAUUCUCAUUGCUGGAGCAAUACCCUUCCUUCUGCCAGUUGAAACUGCUGGCUGAAUUCUUAUGCUGGUAGGAGAGUUCUAGUGCAAAACAAAAGAGAAGGGUCAUUGUCACCCUUUUGGGAGGAUGGCCACUUACAUGCUUACCUGUUAUACCUAAAGAGGGCAAGCCACAAGCUGCAGCAACCUAACUUUGGAAGAACAGAGUCUCAGGUUGCCAGUUCUUCACCCGACCCUGGUUGAAGAUAGAGAGGAGGUAGAUGUAGUCUUCAUUAGGAAACAAAUUAAGUCCUUGCUUACUGUUUUGUUUUCCUUCCCAUUUCUUUUUAUCUUUCACCUUCCCCCAAGCACCCUCAAAGAAUCAGAGGCACACUAGCUGUGCCUUUUAGAUCCUGCCUUGCUCCCAUAACACAGAUAGCAAACAACACAAUAAGAAUGAACAGCUCCAGAAACAGAUUUCUAUAUCAGAAGUUUCUGAGUCAUAAUAGCCAUAUGUUAUUCCUGUACUGUCACUCCUAUUUUCUGAUGAACCCAUUACUGUUGUUAUUUUUGCAUGCCUAACUCUACCAUCCCAUCUAUGACUGAAUAAUUCAACAGUCAUCACAGUGAACAGUUUUGCUGGAAUAUUGGCAAUUGCAGCAUCAAAUCAGUCUCAACUGUUGGAAACUUCAUGGUUGCAUCCAUGGAGAUUUAAGAUAAAAUACAAAAAUGAUUUGCUACUGUCUUUUAAUUUUUAAAAAUGUCCUAGUUAGUUUAACAGCCCUGCAUUUACUGCUGGUCUCCCUUCCAAGUACUAACCACACCACACCUUGAGUUUAGGAGAGUCUGACACGAACAAUAUGACUAUUUCUUUUUUGUAAGUCAAAUUCUACUAUGCACAUGCUUGCAUUCCCAUGAAAUAAGGUAUUCUAUUCUACGUACUGUUAAGCUUUAAAUUGUGUCUUAGAGGUAUUUUACAUGUAAGAGAUUAGAACUGUGCCAAUAGAAGAGAAUGUAUUUACCUCAGGUUUGAACUGUGGAAUCCUUGGUGCUGAGACUGGUUCUUGCUUGCAGCAUUUUGUUACCUGACUAGGUAACAUCUUUAAUGCUAGAAGCGAGUGGGGUUUGCUUUCUGUUUAUAUACAGUAGCUUGUCCUGUCAGUGUUGGUGGAGAUAUUGUUUUCUCCUUGGUAGGUCCUUGACUAGGCUUUUGUUUACUACUUGUUAGUCUGCAAGAAAACAACCAAGCUCAGUGACACCAUGGACUCCACAGAUUAGAAAUGUUUGUUAUAUUUUGCCUUUCAGUUUAAAUAAUAAUCAAUGUGCCUUACAAUAUUAAGAUUAAAACUUUUGUAUCUUUUGUAUCUUAUCUAUUAAAACUUUUCUAACU